GAUGGCUGGGUCACAUGGUCUAGUCCCGCAGGUCGCUGCGCUCCGGCAGACGGAAGCAGUAGAGAUGAGAGCUCCUCUUUUUGUGCUUGCUGUUGCUUCGCUCUUUCGCCCCAAAAAGAAACUGGCCAUAGACUGCACUAUGGCAAAGCCUCCUCUAGGUAUCAUCUAGUGUCCAGCAUCCCUGCUCAAAGUGACUGCUUUCAGGACAACAGUGCAUCUGAGGGCGUUGCUGGACCAGAACAAAACUCUUCUGCACAAAGACCACUUUGCAACCCAAGCUCAGCUCCUCAUCUGUAUGACCAGGAAAAGGCAAAUCUAUACUCAUUUUUUCUUGUUUAUAUCUACUAAUACUCCUGGUAUAUAUGCUCUGCCAAUGGGCACUCAAGUCACACUGAUGGCCUGAAGGCCUAGAUGAUGAAGUGCAGAUGGAAUAUCCCAGGUCUGAAACAAAACCCAAAACAUCCUCACUCAUAACUAACUCUCUGUGAAAGGGAGGGUUCAGCAAAAGUCCCACGUACAGUCUGCACAGCAGUUUUCACCUAGGUUGGACACACAGUACAAUAGAUCCAACAGUCAACACAAGAAUGCAGCUCAAGGUAUUACUAUUUCUAGCACAUUCUCCAAGUCUCACCCUUUCUACAAGUCUGGGUCUAAUCGACUUGAAAUCACUCUGUAACUUUCCAAAACCAAAACAAUUCAGCAGAAGACCCCCAUUUGUAUUUACUACUUUCUGCAACUUAUUUAUUUAAUCAAUCAGGGACAUUUUCACAUUGAAACUUACUUCUUUGCUUCAAGUCCAGUCAAAGAAAUCUUCAGGACGCCCAGGGGUGAAGGAAGCCAUGCUAACACUCCCUAACCCGGACCCAAGAGUGACUAUCCUACGCCUGGAAAUCAGAGAGGCAAUCCUAGAGACCCAUCAAUAGCCCCACGAGCCCGCUCAACACUCCCCUCACAUCUUCACACCGAGACUGGUCGGUUCUGGGACUUCACAAGGCCUCGUGAGCCUGAGACAGAGGCGUGCCCCACGUCGGAUUCACAAAUAGGAAGAGCUGGAUCAGUCUCCCCCGCCAUACACACUGCUCAUUCCACCCUCAAAUCCCUUCCACCCAAGGAGUGGCUCAUAUACUGAAGCAACUGUUCCGGGGAUGGGGAGAUUACAGAAGAGAGCGGAGGUGGGGCCCGCCUCGGGGUUCGACGUAAAGAUUACCGGAUAAGGUGGUUGUCUUCCCACGCCGAUUGACCAGAGCUGGCGAACCCUCCCGGGCGACACUCGCUGGGCUGGGCAGGCUCGCGGACUGGGCGCCACAUCCGGGCAGCUACCGAGUCCCAGCCCAUCGUCGCGCGCAGUCUCAGCUCGAUGUCCCGAGACCUCCUGGGAAGUGGAGUUCCAGGACCAGCCUCGCCAUGUGCAAGUGCCAGAGUUCUAAACUACCCUUUCGGGUAAUCCAGGAUUACUUAGAUCCCCGGACCCCAGUAGGAGCUACUCCCUUAGGAGGUUGCCAAACCUCACCUUUCCCUUUGCAAAGUGAGGACACAUCCACUCUCCUCUCCCCAAAUGCCUUUUUUUCUUCUCAAGACCAAUGUUACCAUAGGCAGUCAGGGAACUGAAAAAAUGUUUGGGAAGACGGAGGGGAUUAGAAAGUGAGGUAGUGAGCCAAGUAGGGUUGCUGUCUGUCACCAUAUAUUAGUUUGCAUUUUCUAGAGUUGUAGAUAAAUGGAAUCAUCCAGUAUGCACUCUUUUCUAAGAGCUUUAUUGAGCUAUAAAUUCACAUAUCAUACAAUUCAUUUAAAUUGUA